rnacentral:rRNA from 1 species
ACGGGAGGCAGCAGUGGGGAAUAUUGCACAAUGGGCGCAAGCCUGAUGCAGCGAUGCCGCGUGAGGGAAGAAGGUUUUCGGAUUGUAAACCUCUGUCAUCGGGGACGAUAAUGACUGUACCCGAGAAGGAAGCUCCGGCUAACUACGUGCCAGCAGCCGCGGUAAUACGUAGGGAGCGAGCGUUAUCCGGAAUUACUGGGUGUAAAGGGAGUGUAGGCGGGACUGUAAGUCAGAUGUGAAAUAUGCCGGCUCAACUGGCAGACUGCAUUUGAAACUGCGGUUCUUGAGUGAAGUAGAGGUAAGCGGAAUUCCUAUUGUAGCGGUGAAAUGCGUAGAUAUUGGGAGGAACACCAGUGGCGAAGGCGGCCUGCUGGACGACAACUGACGCUGAGGCGCGAAAGCGUGGGGAGCAAACAGGAUUAGAUACCCUGGUA